CCUACGGUGUGCAGCAGUGGGGAAUAUUGGACAAUGGGCGAAAGCCUGAUCCAGCCAUGCCGCGUGUGUGAAGAAGGCCUUCGGGUUGUAAAGCACUUUCAGUGGGGAAGAAAGCCUUGGGGCUAAUACCCUCGAGGAAGGACAUCACCCACAGAAGAAGCACCGGCUAACUCCGUGCCAGCAGCCGCGGUAAUACGGAGGGUGCGAGCGUUAAUCGGAAUUACUGGGCGUAAAGCGCGCGUAGGCGGUCUGAUAAGCCGGUUGUGAAAGCCCCGGGCUCAACCUGGGAACGGCAUCCGGAACUGUCAGGCUAGAGUGCAGGAGAGGAAGGUAGAAUUCCCGGUGUAGCGGUGAAAUGCGUAGAGAUCGGGAGGAAUACCAGUGGCGAAGGCGGCCUUCUGGACUGACACUGACGCUGAGGUGCGAAAGCGUGGGUAGCAAACAGGAUUAGAUACCCGAUAGUC
rnacentral:rRNA from 1 species